UAUGGUAAUUGUGCCCCGCCGCGGUAAUACGGAAGGUUCGGGCGUUAUCCGGAUUUAUUGGGUUUAAAGGGAGCGUAGGCCGGAGAUUAAGCGUGUUGUGAAAUGUAGACGCUCAACGUCUGCACUGCAGCGCGAACUGGUUUCCUUGAGUACGCACAAAGUGGGCGGAAUUCGUGGUGUAGCGGUGAAAUGCUUAGAUAUCACGAAGAACUCCGAUUGCGAAGGCAGCUCACUGGAGCGCAACUGACGCUGAAGCUCGAAAGUGCGGGUAUCGAACAGG
rnacentral:rRNA from 1 species